AUUGAACGCUGGCGGCAGGCCUAACACAUGCAAGUCGGACGGCAGCACGGGAGCUUGCUCCUGGUGGCGAGUGGCGGACGGGUGAGUAGCGCUUGGGAAUCUGCCUGGCAUUGGGGGAUAACUCGGGGAAACUCGAGCUAAUACCGCGUACGCCCUGAGGGGGAAAGCAGGGGACUUGCUUGCAAGCCUUGCGAUGUCAGAUGAGCCCAAGCCGGAUUAGCUAGUUGGUAGGGUAAAGGCCUACCAAGGCGACGAUCCGUAGCUGGUCUGAGAGGAUGAUCAGCCACACUGGGACUGAGACACGGCCCAGACUCCUACGGGAGGCAGCAGUGGGGAAUAUUGGACAAUGGGGGCAACCCUGAUCCAGCCAUGCCGCGUGUGUGAAGAAGGUCUUAGGAUUGUAAAGCACUUUAAGUCAGGAGGAAGGCGCUCUGGUUAAUACCUGGAGUGAUUGACGUUACUGACAGAAUAAGCACCGGCUAACUUCGUGCCAGCAGCCGCGGUAAUACGAAGGGUGCAAGCGUUAAUCGGAAUUACUGGGCGUAAAGCGCGCGCAGGCGGUUCGAUAAGAAAGAUGUGAAAGGCCUGGGCUCAACCUGGGAAUGGCAUUUUUAACUGUCGGGCUAGAGUACGGUAGAGGGUGGUGGAAUUUCCUGUGUAGCGGUGAAAUGCGUAGAUAUAGGAAGGAACAUCAGUGGCGAAGGCGACCACCUGGACUGAUACUGACGCUCAUGUGCGAAAGCGUGGGGAGCAAACAGGAUUAGAUACCCUGGUAGUCCACGCUGUAAACGAUGUCAACUAGCCAUUGGUCUCCUUGUGGGAUAAGUGGCGCAGCUAACGCGAUAAGUUGACCGCCUGGGGAGUACGGCCGCAAGGUUAAAACUCAAAUGAAUUGACGGGGGCCCGCACAAGCGGUGGAGCAUGUGGUUUAAUUCGACGCAACGCGAAGAACCUUACCUGGCCUUGACAUCCACAGAACCUGCCAGAGAUGGCGGGGUGCCUUCGGGAACUGUGAGACAGGUGCUGCAUGGCUGUCGUCAGCUCNUNAGAUGAGAUGUUGGGUUAAGUCCCGUAACGAGCGCAACCCCUGUCCUUAAUUACCAGCACG
rnacentral:rRNA from 1 species